UACGACGGGGGCUAGCGUUGCUCGGAAUCACUGGGCGUAAAGGUUGCGUAGGCGGGGCUUUAAGUCAGGGGGGAAAUCCUGGAGCUCAACUCCAGAACUGCCUUUGAUACUGAGGAUCUUGAGUUCGGGAGAGGUGAGUGGAACUGCGAGUGUAGAGGUGAAAUUCGUAGAUAUUCGCAAGAACACCAGUGGCGAAGGCGGCUCACUGGCCCGAUACUGACGCUGAGGCACGAAAGCGUGGGGAGCAAACAGG
rnacentral:rRNA from 1 species